UACGUAGGGGGCGAGCGUUGUCCGGAUUUAUUGGGCGUAAAGAGCGUGUAGGCGGCCAGGUAGGUCCGUUGUGAAAACUCGAGGCUCAACCUCGAGACGUCGGCGGAAACCCUCUGGCUAGAGUCCGGAAGAGGAGAGUGGAAUUCCUGGUGUAGCGGUGAAAUGCGCAGAUAUCAGGAGGAACACCGGUGGCGAAGGCGGGUCUCUGGGCAGUAACUGACACUGAGGAGCGAAAGCGUGGGGAGCGAACAGG
rnacentral:rRNA from 1 species